AUUGAACGCUGGCGGCAUGCCUUACACAUGCAAGUCGAACGGUAACAGGUCUUCGGAUGCUGACGAGUGGCGAACGGGUGAGUAAUACAUCGGAACGUGCCCGAUCGUGGGGGAUAACGGAGCGAAAGCUUUGCUAAUACCGCAUACGAUCUACGGAUGAAAGCAGGGGACCGCAAGGCCUUGCGCGGACGGAGCGGCCGAUGGCAGAUUAGGUAGUUGGUGGGAUAAAAGCUUACCAAGCCGGCGAUCUGUAGCUGGUCUGAGAGGACGACCAGCCACACUGGGACUGAGACACGGCCCAGACUCCUACGGGAGGCAGCAGUGGGGAAUUUUGGACAAUGGGCGAAAGCCUGAUCCAGCCAUGCCGCGUGCAGGAUGAAGGCCUUCGGGUUGUAAACUGCUUUUGUACGGAACGAAAAGCCUCUUUCUAAUAAAGAGAGGUCAUGACGGUACCGUAAGAAUAAGCACCGGCUAACUACGUGCCAGCCGCCGCGGUAAUAC
rnacentral:rRNA from 1 species